GGCCUUUUGUUUAUGAUUUAAGGUCUUGCCUGCCCAAUGAUGUAAAAGUUAAAUGGCCGCAGUAUACUGACUGUGCAAAGGUAGCAUAAUCAAUAGUUUUUUAAUUGAAAGCUUGUAUGAAAGGUUUGAUGAGAAAAAGACUGUCUCUAUUUAAAGUUUUAGAAAUUUAUUUUUAAGUUAAAAAGCUUAAAUUUUUAUUGAAGACGAGAAGACCCUAUAGAGUUUGAUUUAUGUGGUAUUAAAAAAAAUUUAGUAUUUAAGAUUUUAAUGUUACAUAAAUUUGGUUGGGGUGAUUGAAAAAUUUAUAUAACUUUUUUUGUAUUUUUACAUUUAUUUAUGAAUAUUUGAUCCUUGAAAAGAUUAUAAGAUAAAAUUACCUUAGGGAUAACAGCGUAAUUUUUCUUAGAGUUCUUAUCGAAAGAAGAGAUUGCGACCUCGAUGUUGGAUUAAAAUUAAAUUUUUGGUGUAGAAGCUAAUAAAUUAGGUCUGUUCGACCUUUAAAUUUUUACAUGAUCUGAGUUUAAACCGGCGUAAG
rnacentral:rRNA from 1 species